AACGAACGCUGGCGGCGUGGAUUAGGCAUGCAAGUCGAACGCGAAAGGGGAGCAAUCCCUGAGUAGAGUGGCGAACUGGUGAGUAACAGGUGGGCAAUGUGCCCCAAAGUGGGGGAUAACUCCGAGAAAUCGGAGCUAAUACCGCAUAUGGCGUCGAGGACUUUGGUUCAUGACGUUAAAGGAGCAAUUCGCUUUGGGAUCGGCCC
rnacentral:rRNA from 1 species